CCCCACUGGGAGCACUGGUCCAGACUGGGGGGCACUGGGAUGGACUGGGGGGGGGGUGGGGGUGGUUACUGGUGGGCCUACUGGGGCGUAGUGGAGCGCACCAGUUCAUACUGGUCUGUACUGGGGGGCACACUGGUUCAUACUGGUCCAUGCUGGUGUCCGUACUGGGCCAUACUGGGGUGUACUGGGGCCAUACUGGUCUGUACUGGGGGGCACACUGGUUCAUACUGGUCCAUGCUGGUGUCCAUACUGGGGCCAUACUGGGGCCAUACUGGGGUGUACUGGGCCAUACUGGGCACAUACUGGUCUGUACUGGGCCAUACUGGGGUGCACUGGUCACAGACUGGGCACAUACUGGUCUGUACUGGGCCAUACUGGUCUGUACUGAUCACAGACUGGGCACAUACUGGUCCGUACUGGGGCCAUACUGGUCUGUACUGGUCACAGACUGGGCACAUACUGGUCCGUACUGGGCCAUACUGGUCUGUACUGGUCACAGACUGGGCCAUACUGGUCCGUACUGGGGCCAUACUGGUCUGUACUGAUCACAGACUGGGCACAUACUGGUCCGUACUGGGGCCAUACUGGGGUGUACUGGUCACAGACUGGGCACAUACUGGUCUGUACUGGGGCCAUACUGGGCUGUACUGGGCCAUACUGGUCUGUACUGGUCACAGACUGGGCACAUACUGGUCCGUACUAGUGCCAUACUGGUCUGUACUGGUCACAGACUGGGCACAUACUGGUCUGUACUGGGGCCAUACUGGGGUGCAUACUGGUUUGUGUUGGUCAGUACUGGUUUGUACUGGUUCAUACUGGGCAGAGGUGCAGGGCCAUGUGAGCUGCAGGCGCACACUGGGGUGCGCGGUGGCCCGUACUGGGCCGUACUGGUCCAAACUGGUCUGUAUUGGUCAGUACUGUGUUGUACAGAGUGCUACUGGUUUAUACUGGUUCAUACUGGUUUAUACUGGGCUGUACUGGGCAGAGCUGUGGGAGCGUGGGUGCUGGGCUGCCAGUGCCCUGUACUGAGUUAUACUGGUGCAGGCUGGUCCACGCCAUUUUAUGGUGGUCUGUACUGGUUUAUACUGGGCUGUACUGGGCCAUACUGGUCUGUACUGGUCUGUACUAGCCCGCACUGGUGUAGGGCGUCCCAUACUGGUCCAUACUGGUAUAUACUGGUUGGUGGUGGGAAGGGUGGGUGAACUAGGGGUGCGCCCUGGGGUGCCCAGUGCCUGUUGUUACCUUGUACUGGCACAUACUGGGCUGGAAUGGUCUGUACUGGCCCGUGUUAUUCCGUAUACUGGUUUGUAGUGGAGUUUCCUGGCUUAUACUGGUCUAUACUGGUCUAUACUGGUCUAAACUGGUCUAUACUUGUUUAUACUGGUUUAUACUGGUCUAUACUGGUCUAUACUGGAGUUUCCUGGCUUAUACUGGUCUAUACUGGUUUAUACUGGUUUAUACUGGUCUAAACUGGUCUAUACAGGUUGCUAUUGGGCAGAGUGCGUGCAGGCUGGGGUGUGAGCUGGGCCGUGUGCUGCCUUACAGCGGUCUGUAUGGGUUUGGGGGGGCUUGUACUGGGAGUUUCCUGGCUUAUACUGGUCUAUACUGGUCUAUACUGGUUUG